rnacentral:lncRNA from 1 species
CUUCAACUGUCAUCUCCUUUCGCUUAUGCUUAAGGUAAUUUUUGAAGUCUUUCCAACCAGGUGGUAACUUUUCAAUAAUACAAGCCACUUGGAAAGAUUCACUAAUUACCAUACGUUCAGCAUGAAUCCCAUGGAUAAUCAGCUGGAGUUCUUGAACUUGAUUCACAACAGUUUUGGAAUCAACCAUUUGGAAAUUCAGGAAUUGGCUCACUAAAAAUUUCUUAGCGCCAGCAUCCUCUGAUCUGUAUUUCCGGUCCAAGGAUUCCCAAAGUUCCUUUGUCGUUUUCUUAAUAGUGUAUACACUAUAAAGUGCAUCAGUUAG